UCUUCGGCCCAUGGUACCACUCCAAUUCUUAGUACAACCUGUUGAACGUACAAAGCUGACUUGUCUGUAACAUUUGUUGAUUCAACCGUACGAUUAAGUAUCAUUCUUGGUGCAUUUCCUGGCAUUGGCAGAUUUACUAAAGGAUAACUGUAAUUGACAAAACGAUUCUAUUUUAAAUCGUGUACCUAUAAUGGAAGAAUACUAAAAUAUAUCAUUAAAUAAGAUACAACAGACCAGCAUAGUAAUAUAAUUGAUAUUGCCAAAGAGAUAACUGGGAUGGGAUGCGAAGAACAGAAUAGGCCAUGGGCAUAAUAAAGCCCUGCCACUCUAUCUGGCAAACUACGGGACAUUUCACCUCAAGUCUGUCCCAUCAACAUUCUCUUGUCUUAUAUUAAAGUAUCGACUUUUUGUGACCUGUUAACAAUUUAAAAAAAAAAAAGUCACAUAUAUUAUGAGCGAUUAAAAGGAGAUAUGAUCUAACUAAAUCUCACGAUAUUCCAUACAUAUGCACGUUCAGAUAACUGUUAGCAUCAUUGUUAACAUGACAUCUAACAACCGAAAAAAGGGAGAAAAAAGAUUUGAUAAAAAGGAAAAUAAGAAUAAAAUAACAAGUGUACCACGUGUUUUUCUUCGGUUAUCAAAAACAUUACGCAAUUGAAAUAUCGUCGAGCGCGUAUUUUCGGUAUAGCCAAUUCGGUAUAGCAUAUUAUACUCUUAAAAAUAUACGUCUUGCUCAUUUUCAAUCGUCGAAUCAGUAUCUGGACUCAACGCAUCAUCAUACAGCAAAUGAUGCAACACGCGCAAAAAAAGAGAAAGAGAGAGAGAGAGAGAGAGAGGAGGGGCGGCGCGUGGGGGAGAGCAGAUAAACAAAGUAAGAGAAAUGAAAAACAAGCGAUCUUGUAACAAGUGAUACAUCAAUGUGCUAUCCAUGGGACACGUUGCUCCUUUCCAUUUGUUUUGCCGUUCAAGUUAUUUAUAAUAAAUCAUGGCCUGAGCAGAAAAAAAAAAAAUUGUUAGAUUGAACUACGAUCGACGAUAAGAUCCAUGAAAAAAUAGGAAGAACAAAUCGAGUCAUAGAAGUUUGUCGUUAGUAAAUAUUCUUCGAUCAAA